rnacentral:lncRNA from 1 species
ACACUGCGCGCCCCUCACGUGGUCUCGCUACAGCCCCGUCGCCGGCGGAGGCGGGCGCGGGCGCGGGCGCGUCCCUGUGGCCAGUCACCCGGAGGAGUUGGUCGCACAAUUAUGAAAGACUCGGCUUCUGCUGCUAGCGCUGGAGCUGAGUUAGUUCUGAGAAGGUUUCCCUGGGCUGUCCUUGUCCGGCAGCCUCUGCUGUCGCCUCGAGAGACGCUUCCCGAUAGAUGGCUACAGGCCGCGGAGGAGGAGGUGGUGGAGUUGCUGCCCUUCCGGAGUUCGCCCCGUGAGGAGAAUGUCCCAGAAAUCCUGGAUAGAAAGUACUUUGACCAAGAGGGAAUGCGUAUAUAUUAUACCAAGUUCCAAGGACCCUCACAGAUGCCUUCCAGGAUGUCAAAUUUGUCAACAACUUGUCAGGUGCUUUUGUGGUCGCUUGGUCAAGCAGCAUGCUUGUUUUACUGCAAGUCUUGCCAUGAAAUACUCAGAUGUGAAAUUGGGUGACCAUUUUAACCAGACAAUAGAAGAAUGGUCAGUGGAAAAGCAUACAGAACAGAGCCCAACGGAUGCUUAUGGAGUCAUAAAUUUUCAAGGGGGUUCUCAUUCUUACAGAGCUAAGGUAUGUCAUGUAUUUGAUAUUAUACUUUAUUUAUAUUGUUAUCUAAAUAAUAUGCAU